rnacentral:rRNA from 1 species
CCCUUAGAUGUCCUGGGCCGCACGCGCGUUACACUGAUGCAUUCAACGAGCUUAUAACCUUGGCCGAGAGGCCUGGGCAAUCUUGUUAACGUGCAUCGUGAUAGGGAUAGAUUAUUGAAAUUAUUAAUCUUGAACGAGGAAUUCCUAGUAAACGCAAGUCAUCAGCUUGCAUUGAUUACGUCCCUGCCCUUUGUACACACCGCCCGUCGCACCUACCGAUUGAAUGGUCCGGUGAAAUCUUGGGAUUUUGUUUUGUUUGCAUUUAUUUGUAUCGAGACGAGAGAACUUGAGUAAACCUUACCAUUUAGAGGAAGGUGAAGUCGUAACA